GAUUGCUCAGUAACACGUGGACAACCUGCCCUGAGGACUGGAAUAAUCCCGGGAAACUGGGGGUAAUUCCAGAUAUGUCAGAACUCCUGGAAUGGGUUCUGGCAGAAAGGCUCCGGCGCCUCAGGAUGGGUCUGCGGCCUAUCAGGGUAGUAGUGGGUGUAACGUACCUACUAGCCUACGACGGGUACGGGUUGUGAGAGCAAGAGCCCGGAGAUGGAUUCUGAGACAUGAAUCCAGGCCCUACGGGGUGCAGCAGGCGCGAAAACUUUACAAUGCGGGCAACCGCGAUAAGGGGACCUCGAGUGCUGGGUUACAAACCUGGCUGUUGGGCUGCCUAAAAAGCAGUCUAUAGCAAGGGCCGGGCAAGACCGGUGCCAGCCGCCGCGGUAACACCGGCGGCUCGAGUGGUAACCGCUGUUAUUGGGUCUAAAGGGUCUGUAGCCUGCCGGCUAAGUCUCUUGGGAAAUCUGGCAUCUCAAGUGUCAGGCUGCCAGGGGAUACUGGUCAGCUUGGGACCGGGAGAGGUGAGAGGUACCUCAGGGGUAGGGGUGAAAUCUUGUAAUCCUUGAGGGACCACCAGUGGCGAAGGCGUCUCACCAGAACGGAUCCAACGGCAAGGGACGAAAGCUAGGGGCACGAACCGGAUUAGAUACCCGGGUAGUCCUAGCCGUAAACGAUACUCGCUAGGUGUCGGCCACGGUGCGACCGUGGUCGGUGCCGUAAGGAAGCCGUGAAGCGAGCCACCUGGGAAGUACGGCCGCAAGGCUGAAACUUAAAGGAAUUGGCGGGG
rnacentral:rRNA from 1 species